UACGUAGGUGGCAAGCGUUGUCCGGAUUUACUGGGCGUAAAGAGCGCGCAGGCGGUUGUUUAAAUCGAAUGUGAAAGCCCCCGGCUCAACUGGGGAGGGUCAUUCGAUACUGAUCGACUUGAAGGCAGGAGAGGGAAGUGGAAUUCCGGGUGUAGUGGUGAAAUGCGUAGAUAUCCGGAGGAACACCAGUGGCGAAGGCGACUUCCUGGCCUGUUCUUGACGCUGAGGCGCGAAAGCUGGGGGAGCAAACGGG
rnacentral:rRNA from 1 species